rnacentral:rRNA from 1 species
GACGAACGCUGGCGGCGUGCUUAACACAUGCAAGUCGAACGGAAAGGCCCUGCUUUUGUGGGGUGCUCGAGUGGCGAACGGGUGAGUAACACGUGAGUAACCUGCCCUUGACUUUGGGAUAACUUCAGGAAACUGGGGCUAAUACCGGAUAGGAGCUCCUGCUGCAUGGUGGGGGUUGGAAAGUUUCGGCGGUUGGGGAUGGACUCGCGGCUUAUCAGCUUGUUGGUGGGGUAGUGGCUUACCAAGGCUUUGACGGGUAGCCGGCAUGAGAGGGUGACCGGCCACAUUGGGACUGAGAUACGGCCCAGACUCAUACGGGAGGCAGCAGUGGGGAAUAUUGCACAAUGGGCGGAAGCCUGAUGCAGCAACGCCGCGUGCGGGAUGACGGCCUUCGGGUUGUAAACCGCUUUCGCCUGUGACGAAGCUUGAGUGACGGUAAUUGGUCAAGAAGCACCGGCUAACUACGUG